CCUAGAUAAACAGAAGUUGACAAGACAUCACAUCGUGACACUGAGCCAGUGAAGGCAGAGCUUAGCUCCAGUGACUUGGCGAAUGAGUUAAGGAGAAAAUGAACGAUUAUG
rnacentral:lncRNA from 1 species